AGAGCGAACGCUGGCGGCAGGCUUAACACAUGCAAGUCGAGCGGGCGUAGCAAUACGUCAGCGGCAGACGGGUGAGUAACGCGUGGAUAUCUGCCUUUUGGUUCGGAAUAACCCCGGGAAACUGGGGCUAAUACCGGAUGGUUCCUACGGGAUAAAGAUUUAUCGCCAAAAGAUGAGUCCGCGUACGAUUAGCUAGUUGGUGAGGUAAUGGCUCACCAAGGCGACGAUCGUUAGCUGGUCUGAGAGGACGAUCAGCCACACUGGGACUGAGACACGGCCCAGACUCCUACGGGAGGCAGCAGUGGGAAUAUUGGACAAUGGGGGCAACCCUGAUCCAGCCAUGCCGCGUGAGUGAUGAAGGCCUUCGGGUUGUAAAGCUCUUUUGGCGGGGACGAUGAUGACGGUACCCGCAGAAUAGCCCGGCUAACUUCGCGCCAGCAGCCGC
rnacentral:rRNA from 1 species